GACAUCCCAACCGAGCUUCAGCCAUCCGGCCUGAACUCCCCGACAAGUCACGACAACGAACACCACUCCACUCUCUGUAACAAACUCCACCAGACGUCCCAAUCGAGCUUCAGCCGUCCGAUCCGAACUCUCCAACAAGUCACGACAACGGACACCACUCCACUCUCUGUAACAAACUCCACAUGGCCCCACCACUCUCUGGCA
rnacentral:lncRNA from 1 species